GAAACCCAACGAGUCUCGCCUAUAUUCUGGAACAAUAUAGAGAAGAUUAACAUGACCCAUUAACAAGAUGACAUGCAUAAAUCGAGAAAAUAUAAUAUUAUCU